rnacentral:rRNA from 1 species
AUGUUGUCAAAACAGUGUUGGAGGCUUAUUACCAAUCCAGAUUCCUUAUGUGCAAAAGUAUUGAAGGCUAAGUACUUUCCCCAUGUGAGUCUACUUGAAGCUACGUUGAAGAAUGGAUCAUCUUUUACAUGGCAAAAUAUUAUGAAGGGACUUGAAACCUUUAAACUGGGUUAUAUUUGGGAGAUAGGAUCAGGAGAGAAUGUGAACAUAUGGAACGACCCGUGGAUCCCAUCUAGCCCGGAUAGGAGGAUUAUAUCAAGUCGAGGCCAAACUUUCCUGUCCAUGGUAAGCGAUCUUAUCGACCCCACAACUGACGCGUGGGAUGAGGAUUUGGUGCUUGCUAUCUUUAACCCUGUGGAUGUAAGACGGAUCCUGCAAAUACCGCUGAAUGUUGGCGCCUUUGAUGAUUUCAUAGCCUGGAAUCCGGAUAGCAAUGGUUGCUUCUCGGUUAGAUCCGCGUACAAGGUGCAGUGGAUUCGAUCUUUCUAG